UCCUACGGGAGGCAGCAGUGGGGAAUAUUGGACAAUGGGGGCAACCCUGAUCCAGCCAUGCCGCGUGUGUGAAGAAGGCCCUCGGGUUGUAAAGCACUUUCAGCGAGGAAGAACGCCUAGCGGUUAAUACCCGCUAGGAAAGACAUCACUCGCAGAAGAAGCACCGGCUAACUCCGUGCCAGCAGCCGCGGUAAUACGGAGGGUGCAAGCGUUAAUCGGAAUUACUGGGCGUAAAGCGCGCGUAGGUGGCUUGAUAAGCCGGUUGUGAAAGCCCCGGGCUCAACCUGGGAACGGCAUCCGGAACUGUCAAGCUAGAGUGCAGGAGAGGAAGGUAGAAUUCCCGGUGUAGCGGUGAAAUGCGUAGAGAUCGGGAGGAAUACCAGUGGCGAAGGCGGCCUUCUGGACUGACACUGACACUGAGGUGCGAAAGCGUGGGUAGCAACCAGGAUUAGAUACCCUGGUAGUCCACGCCGUAAACGAUGUCGACCAGCCGUUGGGUGCCUAGCGCACUUUGUGGCGAAGUUAACGCGAUAAGUCGACCGCCUGGGGAGUACGGCCGCAAGGUUAAAACUCAAAUGAAUUGACGG
rnacentral:rRNA from 1 species